GACAUAGGUCGCAAACGUUAUCCGGAAUUACUGGGCGUAAAGAGCUUGUAGGUGGUUUGUCGCGUUGUUCGUGAAAUCUCACGGCUUAACUGUGAGCGUGCGGGCGAUACGGGCAGACUAGAGUACUGCAGGGGAGACUGGAAUUCCUGGUGUAGCGGUGGAAUGCGCAGAUAUCAGGAGGAACACCGGUGGCGAAGGCGGGUCUCUGGGCAGUAACUGACGCUGAGAAGCGAAAGCGUGGGGAGCGAACAGG
rnacentral:rRNA from 1 species